CAAGUGAUUGCUGCCUGUACCCUUUCAACUGGAGCACGAGCUCUUUGGGUGGUGCUUUAGAAGGGGGAUUCUCUACUGGGUGUCUUGGAGGGACAAAGCUUGCAGGGUGUGUUGGUCUUCUCUUGCUUAAGAAAAAGCAUUGUCCUUUCUUGUGGAUGAACUUUAACACCAGCAAGCGGUCUGCUGUAGCUCUGGGUAGAGAUAACAGCCUCAUGUGCGCAGCAAGUAACACCUUUCACUUAAGAAGUUUUGGGUAUUUGUGGGCUAGAAGAGUAUAUGACAUCUUAGAAACUUGAACGUCAAAAAUAUAAAGUUUUUUGAACUGUUCCUUGGCACAGGGAUCAAGAGAAUUCCUUUGCCGUAUCUCUCUGAAUACAAACUGGGAAUGGAUGGAUGGAUACAGGAGGAAGCCUGGAGCAUUCCUGAAGAAAAUCAGUGCAUAUGGAUCUGACACCUGCUGAUUUUAGGCAACUCAAAUUUAGGGUGGGAUAUCACAGAAUCACAGAUAACUGUUGACACUCACUGUAUGUAUUGUACUUUACUGUCUGGCUGAACCAUGACCUAAAUUAAUCCCAGCUGGGACUUUGUCUCACAAAAAAGGGACAUGAAUAAUGAUACAGCUCUAGAAGUAGCUAACAGGGGCUGAAGUUUUCUCUGUGAGAUAUCUACAUCCUCACCCUAGAGAGAAGUCAAACUAAGAAUGAGGAAAUAUGGAUCAUCUGGGUCUGUGUGACUGUCAUAGCUGACCUUGGAGCAGGUCCCUUCAUUUCAUUGUCCCUUAGCUUAUUGUCUGAGUUAUAGUUUUCCUGAUUAAUCCAUUUAUAUUUUAUUCUCCUAAAGGUGGGAUGGUUUUGCCUCUUUAUAGUUUCAGUGGUGUGGUGUGGAGGGUUUGUUGUUGUUAGGGGUUUUUUUUGUGGUUUUGUUUAUUUGUUUUGCUGUUGGGGGGUGUUUUGUUUUGGUGGGUUUUUUGUUGGUGGUUGUUGUGCUGGGGUUUUUUUGGUUGCUUUGUGGUUUGUUUUUUUUUUCUUUGGAUGUAAAUGUUAUAGUCAUAUUAAAUAACAUUUGCACCAACUGUUACUCAUUAGUAUCUAGUCAUACAGUACAGUGCUAAUAAAACUUAUAAACAGUAACUUUUGCUAGAAAAAUUUAUAGUGCUCAGUACAUUCAAGGAAUCAUGCAAGGAAACAUCAAAAUAAACUUUUUCUUUGUAGCUAGUAGAACUUAAAAAAAUUAUAUCUCAAAUAUAAUUUCCUUUUGAAGGAAUAUUUUGAAGCAUCCCAUGGAGUGCAACAAGUUACAAACAUUUCAAUAUC